GGAUUAGAUACCCUGGUAGUCCACGCCCUAAACGGUGUCAACUAGCUGUUGGGGUUUUAUAGCCUUGGUAGCGCAGCUAACGCGAGAAGUUGACCGCCUGGGGAGUACGGUCGCAAGAUUAAAACUCAAAGGAAUUGACGGGGACCCGCACAAGCGGUGGAUGAUGUGGAUUAAUUCGAUGCAACGCGAAAAACCUUACCUACCCUUGACAUGUCUGGGAUUCCAAAGAGAUUUGGGAGUGCUCGCAGGAGAACCGGAACACAGGUGCUGCAUGGCUGUCGUCAGCUCGUGCCG
rnacentral:rRNA from 1 species